GAACCUUACCUGGGCUCGAACGGCUUCAGAACAUUCCUAGAAAUAGGGACUUCCCGCAAGGGACUGGAGUCGAGGUGCUGCAUGGCUGUCGUCAGCUCGUGUCGUGAGAUGUUGGGUUAAGUCCCGCAACGAGCGCAACCCUUGUCCUGUGUUGCAACUAAUAGGCACUCUCAGGAGACCGCCAGCGAUAAGUUGGAGGAAGGUGGGGAUGACGUCAAGUCAUCAUGGCCUUUAUGUCCAGGGCUACACACGUGCUACAAUGGGCGGUACAAAGCGCUGCCAACCCGCAAGGGGGAGCUAAUCGCAAAAAACCGUCCUCAGUUCGGAUUGCAGGCUGCAACUCGCCUGCAUGAAGCUGGAAUCGCUAGUAAUGGCAUAUCAGAACGAUGCCGUGAAUACGUUCCCGGGCCUUGUCACACCGA
rnacentral:rRNA from 1 species